CUUCUUUUACCCGACCAACACCUGCAGUGUUCUACUCCUCCAUUAGACCAGUCUUCAUCUCCAUCUCCAUCUCCAACGAUUUCAGCUAAGUUUUACUGCCAUUGAAAAGGUGUUGAUUUAAACCGUAUCAAUAUCAUCACCGCUUUUCAUCUCCAUCCAUCUGGAUUUCAUGCAACUGAAGAUGAUGGUUAACCGGUGAUUAUGGUGAUGAUUUGUUGGAUUCUCUCUGUCUUAGAUUAGGAAGAUCUGUGGUGUAUUGAUAUUUGCAGUAAGAACUGUGGUGUAUUGGUUGGUAGAUAGUGGAAUGCAAUUGGGAAGGAUUCCGAUUUUUAUGGGAGUGAACGGGGGAGUCCAGAUUAUGGAUUGUAUAUGUGAUGAGCAUGUGGACUUGGCAUCCCUCAAACGGUGCUACACUAUAUAACCAUCACAGAAAUUAAACCCUAACCUGACGUGAUCGUUGGCAUUCCAGAUUCUGGUAUAUGGUCUGAGCCAGAGAGCUUUAAUGAGGAAGGAUUAGGUACUGUUCCUAAGAGAACUGCAAUAGGUUGCUGGUGAUCAGUUCACAGUCAAGAUCUGCAUUUGCAGGAAAUAUUUGGUGCUCGUUUCUACUCUACUCUAAAGUAAUUGAAGUAUGGACCACUUUAGAGUCCUUCGACAAAACCAUUGUGCGGUCACAUCGUGACAACAAUGGCCAUGGACCAGCGUGAUCCACAAUAGUUAAUAAUGUAAUGAGAAAGAAGAGAGCUGAUAUAACUGAUAUUCACCAAAAAGAAUGUUUGUGCAGUUAUAUACUCCAUUAUGGCAUGCAGCUGCUCCAAAUGGAUCAGUUAACUAUACUUGACAAAGAAGGAAUAGGAUUUUUUCCUUCGGAAACGUCUCUGGAAUGCAUGGUGAAGUUCUCUGAUUACUUUCUUGUUGCUGUAUCCCCUGGAAAUCGAAUUAAGGGUUACAAUAAGCACUGGAGUUAUUCAAAGAAAUAAUAAUCAAAAGCAUUGCAAGAUAACUGAGACAAAUUGUCCGUGUGCAGACUUGGUUGAGGCGUUUAUCAAAAUAAUAGAGGAGAACGCUGACAAAAUUGAUAAGGUAGAUCAUUUGGAAAUAUGGAUGCACUCCACCGCCAGCGAGCAAUCUAUGAACUACUUGGCUCAACUUGGGUUUACAUACGAAGGCAAAAGGCUUGAUGGUGAGGCACAUGCUGUCACGAGAUGGCUCCCAAGUCUCUGGGAUGGCCUAACAGGAAGUGGAUUAUGGAGGAUCCGAGUGUUCAUUUUUAUUGUUGGACAGGUUACGCGUCAUAUUAAGGGGCUGCAUGAAUUUGAGGAGCAUAGCUCAUUGUGUUAUCUUUGAAUUGUUUUGGGUUAAAUUUCAUAACAAAUAGAACGAUUCUGUUGUACUUGUGUUUUGAGAAUGCAUGAACUGCAGAUUGAAAAAUAAGAAAUUGCAGGCCUGUGUCCAGGUUUAGUUUUAGCUGUGUUACAGGCCUGUAAACUGGAAGUCCAGGUCCAUGAAAAUGAUCUGGAUUACCCAUUUUUUUUAAUUGUUACUGAAACGAUUGUCACGAUAUAACUGUGACAAAAAUUGUGAAGCAAAAA